rnacentral:rRNA from 1 species
UACGCAGGGGGCUAGCGUUGUUCGGAAUUACUGGGCGUAAAGCGCACGUAGGCGGAUCGAUCAGUCAGGGGUGAAAUCCCAGAGCUCAACUCUGGAACUGCCUUUGAUACUGUCGAUCUAGAGUAUGGAAGAGGUGAGUGGAAUUCCGAGUGUAGAGGUGAAAUUCGUAGAUAUUCGGAGGAACACCAGUGGCGAAGGCGGCUCACUGGUCCAUUACUGACGCUGAGGUGCGAAAGCGUGGGGAGCAAACAGG